UAUCUUCUUAAUUUCUCGUUUCCGCGUAUCCGUCCUUGUAUCAAUUGGUAUCAGAGCUUAGCUUAGAUUUGUUCCAUCAAAUCUAGUCUUGGGUUUUGAUUCAACAAAAAAAAAAUCGAAAUUCAACAAAAAAAAAGUUCGAAUUUUUGUUUAUUUUGUUGAAUCUAGUGUUCGAUUAGAGUUUCUUAGUGUUUCUAGAGUCCAAAUCUUCCAUUUCGAGCUAUUUGGAGUUGGGGUUUGUGUUCCACCAUUGUUGAGCUUCAAAGCUUCAAGAACAAGGUUGUGAGUCUUGUUGAAGAAGGUGAAAUUGAAGGUUGAAAGCUAUUGGGCUUUGUUCUCUACAUUAAAGAGAACUUAGAUCCGAAAUUUGAGCUAAUUUGGAGUUGAUUUGAGGGUAGUUGAAUUUUUGAAUUGUUCUUGUGUUCUUGAAGACCUUCAAAUCUUCAUAAGGAAAAAGACUCUCCAAAGGGCUAUUUGAUCCAAAAGUUGCCAAAUAAAGUUGUGAAAA